AGAGUUUACGUAGUCCUGGGCGUCAGGAUGAACGACGUAGCGGCAGGCUUAACACAUGCAAGUCGAGGGGCGAUCGGAGGGAAGCUUGCUUUCCUUGCCGGCGACCGGCGCACGGGUGAGUAACACGUAUGCAACCUGCCCUCUUCAGGGGGACAACCUUCCGAAAGGAGGCUAAUCCCGCGUAUAUCGGUUUCGGGCAUCCGAGAUCGAGGAAAGAUUCAUCGGAAGAGGAUGGGCAUGCGGCGCAUUAGCUUGACGGCGGGGUAACGGCCCACCGUGGCGACGAUGCGUAGGGGUUCUGAGAGGAAGGUCCCCCACACUGGUACUGAGACACGGACCAGACUCCUACGGGAGGCAGCAGUGAGGAAUAUUGGUCAAUGGGAGAGAUCCUGAACCAGCCAAGCCGCGUGAGGGAAGACGGCCCUAUGGGUUGUAAACCUCUUCUGUCGGAGAACAAAACCCGGGACGUGUCCCGGACUGCGUGUAUCCGAAGAAAAAGCAUUGGCUAACUCCGUG
rnacentral:rRNA from 1 species